rnacentral:rRNA from 1 species
UAAUACGAACUGUGCAAACGUUAUUCGGAAUCACUGGGCUUAAAGGGUGCGUAGGCGGCUCAAUAAGUAGGGUGUGAAAGCCCCCGGCUUAACCGGGGAAUGGCGCUCUAAACUGUUGAGCUGGAGUGAGAUAGGGGUGUGUGGAACUUCCGGUGGAGCGGUGAAAUGUGUUGAUAUCGGAAGGAACGCCGGUGGCGAAAGCGACACACUGGGUCUCAACUGACGCUGAGGCACGAAAGCCAGGGGAGCAAACGGG